UACCAGCACCCCGAGUGGUCGGGACGAUUAUUGGGCCUAAAGCAUCCGUAGCCGGCCUUACAAGUCCUCCGUUAAAUCCAGCUGCUUAACAGAUGGGCUGCGGAGGAUACUAUAAGACUAGGAGGCAGGAGAGGCAAGCGGUACUCAGUGGGUAGGGGGUAAAAUCCGUUGAUCCAUUGAAGACCACCAGUGGCGAAGGCGGCUUGCCAGAAUGCGCUCGACGGUGAGGGAUGAAAGCUGGGGGAGCAAACCGG
rnacentral:rRNA from 1 species